AACGAACGCUGGCGGCAGGUCUAACACAUGCAAGUCGAGCGCGCCCUUCGGGGUGAGCGGCGGACGGGUGAGUAACGCGUGGGAACGUGCCCUUUUCUACGGAAUAGCCUCGGGAAACUGAGAGUAAUACCGUAUACGCCCUUUGGGGGAAAGAUUUAUCGGAAAAGGAUCGGCCCGCGUUGGAUUAGGUAGUUGGUGGGGUAAUGGCCUACCAAGCCGACGAUCCAUAGCUGGUUUGAGAGGAUGAUCAGCCACACUGGGACUGAGACACGGCCCAGACUCCUACGGGAGGCAGCAGUGGGGAAUCUUAGACAAUGGGGGCAACCCUGAUCUAGCCAUGCCGCGUGAGUGAUGAAGGCCUUAGGGUUGUAAAGCUCUUUCAGCUGGGAAGAUAAUGACGGUACCAGCAGAAGAAGCCCCGGCUAACUCCGUG
rnacentral:rRNA from 1 species